rnacentral:rRNA from 1 species
GAUGAACGCUGGCGGCGUGCCUAAUACAUGCAAGUCGAGCGAACAGACGAGGAGCUUGCUCCUCUGACGUUAGCGGCGGACGGGUGAGUAACACGUGGAUAACCUAUCUAUAAGACUGGGAUAACUUCGGGAAACCGGAGCUAAUACCGGAUAAUAUAUUGAACCGCAUGGUUCAAUAGUGAAAGACGGUUUUGCUGUCACUUAUAGAUGGAUCCGCGCCGCAUUAGCUAGUUGGUAAGGUAACGGCUUACCAAGGCAACGAUGCGUAGCCGACCUGAGAGGGUGAUCGGCCACACUGGAACUGAGACACGGUCCAGACUCCUACGGGAGGCAGCAGUAGGGAAUCUUCCGCAAUGGGCGAAUGCCUGACGGAGCAACGCCGCGUGAGUGAUGAAGGUCUUCGGAUCGUAAGACUCUGUUAUUAGGGAAGAACAAAUGUGUAAGUAACUAUGCACGUCUUGACGGUACCUAAUCAGAAAGCCACGGCUAACUACGUG